CAAUAGCGUAUAUUUAAGUUGCUGCAGUUAAAAAGCUCGUAGUUGGAUUUCGGGUGGGAAUGGCCGGUCCGCCGUUUCGGUGUGCACUUGCUACGCCCACCUUGCUGCCGGGGACGUGCUCUUGAGUUCACGCUCGGGACACGUAGUCGGCGAGGUUACUUUGAGUAAAUUAGAGUGUUCAAAGCAGGCCUACGCUCUGAAUACAUUAGCAUGGAAUAACACGAUAGGACUCUGGCCUAUCUUGUUGGUCUGUAGGACCGGAGUAAUGAUUAAGAGGGACAGUCGGGGGCAUUCGUAUUUCAUUGUCAGAGGUGAAAUUCUUGGAUUUAUGAAAGACGAACUACUGCGAAAGCAUUUGCCAAGGAUGUUUUCAUUAA
rnacentral:rRNA from 1 species